rfam:Myotis lucifugus cont2.34809, whole genome shotgun sequence.
GGUGGGGGGGGGGGGUCCCUCAGCCCAGAUUGCAAGAGGGUGAAGGCAAGGUUGAGGGACCCCACUGGUGCACA